GACAGAGGAUGCAAGCGUUAUCCGGAAUGAUUGGGCGUAAAGGGCGCGUAGGCGGAUGGCACAGUCAGAUGUGAAAUUCCCGGGCUUAACCUGGGGGCUGCAUUUGAUACGUGUUGUCUUGAGUUCGGAAGAGGGUCGUGGAAUUCCCAGUGUAGAGGUGAAAUUCGUAGAUAUUGGGAAGAACACCGGUGGCGAAGGCGGCGACCUGGUCCGACACUGACGCUGAGGAGCGAAAGCGUGGGGAGCGAACAGG
rnacentral:rRNA from 1 species